AGGCGUGUGUGCAUGUGUGCAUGGGGGGCGGGGGGAGGGAGGCAGGGGGAGAGGGCCUCCAGUGGGAAGGAGGCCGGAGACCUGAGACCCCUGCCUGUUCACCCUUCUCUGCCCACCUCUCUCUGGGUCCCAGCCCCUGACUCUCCCUUUGCCACUGGGAGGCUUUGAUGUGGACUGGCCUGUGCAGUCAGCACCCCCUGAGGCUGGGUGGGCGGGGGACCCUCUCCCCUCUAAUUUGCUCUGUGCUUGAGGGGCUGGGGGUGUGCCAUAAAAACAGGGUGGAGCGAACCCCCGCCUAGCCUGGAUUCGGGCUGGUGGGAGGAAGAUACAAGGGCGGUUAUGAAACCCGGGGGCCUCUGCCCACGCCCAGUGCCGCCCUUUCUAGACCUUCGUGCCCACACCCGAACAAGAUACUGGAAAGAAAAGCCGGAAAACUGGUGUAAAAGUGUUUGACCCCUUUUCUCCUCCAUGUGAAAGGCAAAAUUCUCGCAACGACCUACCAGGCGCUACCCGACCUACCCUCCUCCCAUCCCUGUCCGGGCCUGCAGCCUGGAAACCUGCCUCCGGAGACAUCCCCAUGGGGAGAGGAAAUCUUUCCAAGAGUAUCUCACAGACCCAAUCAAGAAAGCUGAAUACACGAGCCAGCCGUCGUGCACAGAAAUGUCGGUGAGACUACUGAAUGGUGACCGGCCAUGUGGAGGGAGAAGCCACUUGGAGAACCGGGAUGCCCCAGCCAUCAGCUAGGAUGGAGAUCUUAGGACACGUGAGAAGGCCAUAUUGGAUUCUCCAGCCCCACCCCAACACCCAACUAAUACCACACAGGGCAUCCACACUGAGCCCUGCCCAAAUCCUUUUUUUUCCUCCCAAAUUCUUCUUCUUAACGUUUAUUUAUUUUUGAGAGAGAGAGACAGAGCAUGAGUGGGUAAGGGGCAGAGAGAGGGAGACACAGAAUCGAAAGCAGGAUCCAGACUCUGGGCUGUCAGCACAGAGCCCGUCGUGAGGCUUGAACCCACAAACCGUGAGAUCAUGACCUGAGCCGAAGGCGGACGCUUAACCGCCUGGGUGCCCCAGCCCCAAUUCUUGAUCCACAGACUCCUGAGCAAAGAAAUGGUUUGUGUGUCAGGCCACUAAGUCUUGGGUUGAUUCGUUAGGCAGCGAUAGACAACCAAAGCGCUGUCUCUCCUCUGGGGAUGCUAAGCUGAUGAGGCACAGGCCUAGGGCUACUCCAUGGGGUGCCUGAGAAUAAAACCAACACAAGGGAGAGGCUGAGACACAGAGGUGAGUCCCUGAUCCCGCUGGCCUGAAAUCCUACCUGUGUUUGCGCUGUUCUGUCAUGUGAGUCAACAAAUUCCUGUUCUGUAAGCUGGUUUGAGUAGGGUUUCCGUCACUUAUAACAACAAAAAAAAAAAAAAAAAAAAAAAAAAAAAAUUCCUUAUGAGGGGAGAGGAGCUCUCGGUGAAAGAAAUACUGAGUCCCACUGGUGUCUGGUAGGGCCGGGACCUUGAACUCCAAUAGAAUCCUUCUGGGAGUGGGGCGCCUGGGUGGCUCAGUUGGUUAACUUCAGCUCAGGUCAAGAUCUCACACGGUCUGUGGGUUCAAGCCCCCAUCGGGCUCUGUGCUGACAGACAGGGGCCUGGUUCAGAUUGUGUCUCCCUCUCCCUCUCUGCCCUUCCACUGCUCAUGCUCUGUCUGUCCGUCUCUCUCUCUCAAAAAUAAGUAAUUUUUAAAAAAUGGAAGGGGCGCCUGGGUGGCUCAGUCAGUUAAGCGUCCGACUUCGGCUCAGGUCACGAUCUCGCGGUAUGUGAGUUCGAGCCCCGCGUCGGGCUCUGUGCUGACUGCUCAGAGCCUGGAGCCUGUUUCAGAUUCUGUGUCUCCCUCUCUCUGACCCUCCCCCGUUCAUGCUCUGUCUCUCUCUGUCUCAGAAAUGAAUAAAUG